rnacentral:snRNA from 1 species
AUCGCUUCUCGGCCUUUUGGCUAAGAUCAAGUGUAGUAUCUGUUCUUAUCAGUUUAAUAUCUGAUACGUCCCCUACCCGGGGACCAUAUAUUAAAUUGAUUUUUGGAUCAGGGAGCCGGAACGGGGGCUUGCUCCUUCCACUCCACGCAUCGACCCCGGUAUUGCAUUACCUCCAGGUACGGUGCACGUUCU